rnacentral:rRNA from 1 species
CGAAUUGCGAUCUGUAAUGUGAGUUGCAGAAUUCAGUGAAUCAUCGAAUCUUUGAACGCACCUUGCG